UGAGGAAUAUUGGUCAAUGGGCGAGAGCCUGAACCAGCCAAGUCGCGUGAAGGAAGACUGCCUUAUGGGUUGUAAACUUCUUUUAUACAGGAAUAAAAAGGCUUACGUGUAGGCCAUUGCAAGUACUGUAUGAAUAAGCAUCGGCUAACUCCGUGCCAGCAGCCGCGGUAAUACGGAGGAUGCGAGCGUUAUCCGGAUUUAUUGGGUUUAAAGGGUGCGCAGGCGGGCUUUUAAGUCAGCGGUGAAAUCUGGACGCUUAACGUCCAAACUGCCGUUGAAACUGGGAGUCUUGAGUAUGGAUGAAGUAGGCGGAAUUCGUUGUGUAGCGGUGACAUGCAUAGAUAUAACGAGGAACUCCGAUUGCGUAGGCAGCUUACUAAGCCAUAACUGACGCUCAUGUACGAAAGCGUGGGGAUCAAACAGGAUUAGAUACCCUGGUAGUCCACGCCCUAAACGAUGUCAACUAGUUGUUGGGGAUUCAUUUCCUUAGUAACGUAGCUAACGCGUGAAGUUGACCGCCUGGGGAGUACGGUCGCAAGAUUAAAACUCAAAGG
rnacentral:rRNA from 1 species